UAGGCCCAUUUGCGUUACUGGAAGAGAUCUCCCUGUACACCUGUGAGGUUUCAAGUAACUUACAAUAUGAAGCGUCAGUGACUUCAGUGGGACUUGGGCUAUCCCAGUUAAAUUGCAUGCAUGAUGACAUAUCAGUCAGCAUGAUAGGGCUUUAUUUCUGCAAGCAGAAACCCCUUAUGCACUGUGUUAUGGAAAUUAUUGCUCCAUGCCAAGAAACUUUAUGUUACUCCAUCAGGCGCAACUCUGUUCCUCUGACUCUCUGUGAAUAUUUUCUAGCAAAGUAAUGCAAACAUCCUUACCAUCAAGAAGGCUAGGCAGGGUAGUACUAAAGGUUCCUGUGGAGGAGAAAAAUGCCCUAAAGAAUUUGUUUGGCUUUGGCAGCUGAGGGAUGGGGCAUGACGAGCAAUCCUUGCCACCCAUGGCACGCACUUUGAAUUCAUUUUUAAGCCUGCUUCAGUUCACUCCUCAAAUAACAGUGCUUUUCUUUAAAAUAUAAUGAACUGUGUUGCAUUUAUGAGACCUGCAUGGUCAAAUCAUGUUGCUCCUGUCACCCUGCUGAAUGCCAUGUCACACUGCCAAUGUUUGGACUGAGCACUGACUGCUAGCUUCGGCAAGACUGGAAAGGAAAGGAAGACCUGGACACGCUGACUACAUCUAAACUAUUAAAUAAAAUUAGUCAGAGACUUCUCCUGGAGGCCAACUGGCAUGAAAGAGCUUGCAUUCACACAGCUAAACUCUCUCACCCUCCAAAUCACAGUGGCCACAUCCAAAAUACCUAUUGGAGAUGGUCCCUGACCCAGGUUAAUACCUAAACUGUGCUUUGGCAUUGUCUGGAAGAGCACAAGCAGCCUUGGGCGAAAACUAUGCCAGGGACUAAUUUAGUAGUAUGGACGGUUUCAGGCCCAUGCCUUACCGGUCCUGUGUAGUUUAUUUAGUGUCAGAGUGAAACCUCAGUAAUUCUGCCAGAAGUCAACAGAAACCCCCUAUUGGCCUCAGUGGCCAGAAGCCCCUGAGAAGUAUAAUCAUUAGUUUGUUCACCUCUUUCACAUCUGGAUUCUUUUUUCUCUCAUUCUGUUUUUUGCCAAAUGAGUACUGAAAUGAACGUUUUUUAAAUCUCAUAGAGUAACAGAAUUGGGUUGUUGCCUGCUCAAAACUUGUUGUUAGUUUUGAACUACUGAGAGGUUUUUCACACAAGCUGAGAUUCUGGAAAAGCCACCUUCAGCUCUCUUCCCCGAUGGAGGAUCUCCUACGGCUUUGAGCAAGUGACUAAGAUCUUCUGUGACUCAACACCCCAUUUGGAUAAAAGGGUAAAAAGCUGUGAGGUGUCGAGAUACAAACACACCAGGUGCCCAAGGUCACAUAAGCACGCUGAACUGAUGUGAACAUAAAAAUCCCUUUGACUUCCGUGGCAACUUUUUUCACAUGUCUGGGAAGGGAAUUUGUUUUAAACCCUGCAAAAUGGACAUGAGUGCAUUCACCCCUAUAUCAUGAUGUUUUCACAGUCAGAGCACUGGGAGUGGGUUUGGAUAAGCCUGAAGUGUCCUGAAGUGUGAGAUAAUUUGGGGAGCUGGUGCUCUGUGUUUCUAGGGCUAACUCUGUGUACCUGGUACCCCAAUUAUCCCAUGUAACACUGUCCUUCAUGGUACUAUGCUAUACUUCCAUCUGCAGCAAUAUAAAUAAGAAUCAGGCAGUUCAUGCUAUAAUAUUUUUCUCUAUUCUAAAGAUAAACGGCAGUGAAGGCCAAGUAGGUUUAAAAAGAUCAUCAUACAAAAUUAUUAUAUUAGGCCAUGCUGUAUUACUGAGAUUACAGAAAAUUACAUACAUGUAUUGAAUUAAACCAUGAUUUUCCAAUGAUCUCAGCAGCAGCAGCAGAAUUGGGACUUUUUAAUCAUUGCAUUAUCAGUUUGGUAGGUAACUACUAUACUGAAUUGCUGCUCAAAAUGAAAAACUGUAUUGUUUUAUCCAGAAGGUUUCUGGUUUCUAGCACUAGCCUUUACUUUUCUUAGAGUUCAGACAUAUGAUUGAAUUACUGAAGCUAACAAGUACUGAUUUCAACAACAUUUAAGCUAACACAUAUUUUGCCUCAGGUUUGCUACAGGCUAAGAGUGUGCUGUUAAUGGGGUCAUUUGAUGUGCAACACCUUGCUGAACUAUGAGAACUCGAUUGUGUGCUUUUGCCCAAUGUUCCUUUUAGGGUAAAAAGACCCUUUGUUUUUUAAUUGACCUAUCCAUGGAUCCGUCUCAUAAAAGAGGCUAUGGAGCCUGAUAUGUACAUAGUCAUACCUGGCCUGGGCUGUGCGAAUCUUAAUGAAAUUGUUAUGAAGAAAAGAAUAGAGUUGUUGCCCAGAAUGAUUUACUUAGAAAUCAAUCUUUUUUUUUUUCUGAGCUGGAUUUUGAAAAGCAGGAAGUAUGUCAAAGCAGAGGUGGAACAUUUGACCUAACCUACCUUUGGCCCCCUUUCCCUUCCCUUUCCGCGUUGCCCCUCAAGCCUGAAGCACUCUCCCAUAGAUGCUGGCAUAUGGCAGUUGCUCUAUUCAGACCUAGUGAGACCACUGCUCAGUUAACAUUUGCAAGGCCAUAAUGUGUUUAUUUUUGCAGUCUGAUCUUGCGAGAAGCCGAGGAGGGCUUGCAUCUCCCUCCUACUGAUAACAGUAGUGUUGAAAGUGCUCAGUGCAUUCUAGGGUAAAGCCUUGAACGUUGGGGGUUAGAGAGUUGCUAACGCUCCUUUGGUCUUCACUGAGGGAAAGCCUGGCUCUCCAUUAAACAAAACACAAAACAAAAGAAAAGAACAAAACCCCAACACAAUAGUUGUAGUGGCCCAAAUAAAACAUAAAAAGCUCAGUCUCAGCCCAAGCACUCAGUUUGGGGAUCCUCUGGAAUUAGAGGCUUGAAGCUUGACCCAGGGAUGAGUAUCUCCAUGGUCUUUUUAUGGGCAGAAGUGUGCAGGCUCUGCCCAUGUGUGAAUGGCCUGUGGUGUGCGAGGACAUAGCCCAGUGGCCCAAACUGGUAUUCCCUGCCUGCUGGCAGAGGGUAUCACCACAGACUUGAUGCUUACUCACACUGCUCAGGCUCUGAGCUGUGUUAUGCAGCCAUCAGCCCAGGCUUCACCUCAGGCUCUUUUUGACCCUCUUUUUACUUUUUACUUUUUAAAAACUUGAUCCUUUCAGCUUAUAUUCUCCCUCUAACAAUUCUUUCUCUUUGUUUUUUUUUUCUCUCUACUUCCACAAACUGAACAACUGUCUUUGCCAAGCUCCCCACUCUACCAUCUAUCCACCCCAUAUGUUUAUAUUUUCCUAUUGCUGAGGCACGUUGCACUGACCUGCCUGGACAGAGCUCCUUUAUCACGGAGAUAAACAUGAUGUCCCCCUCACAUAGAGUUUCUAUCAUGUGUGACCUUUCAUCUUGAACUGCCAUGACCUUUUUUUUAUUAAUGCUGUACUGUGCUGCUUGCAGAAGCCAGGAAAGAAAAUCUUUUGUUUCUAGAUAGAAUACUGCUAAAGAACAUGAUACGGUCUUGUUUUUAAUCCAGCUAAUUAAAAUCUGCAUGUGCAGUGUAACUGAGAAUGCAGCCUUCGCCCACCACUUUCCCACAGGCAGGGAAUAAAGGCCUUUAGUGCAGCAGCAGCUAGCUACCCUUGGAUAACAGAGAACAGAGCCCACAAUUCAUCCCAGCUUUCCUUAUCAUAUCCGUGGAGGGCUUUUCCCUCCCUCCCUCCCUCCCUCCCUCUCCCUUUCUCUCCAUGGAAUCACUUACAGUAGCUAUGCGCCUCUAUACAUCACUUCAGAACGUAAUCAAGUUAAAAAUAUGUUAGCUCGCAUUUAUCU